UAAAUCAAGGAUGAAAAGAAGACAACUGAUGUGCAAGGACGUGCAGGUACUACAACAUAUUGCAUACAAUAAGCUUUUUGUUUUUGUCUCGGAAAUACACAUACAUCAUUUGAGUGUCCACUAGAGCGCCAAAUUUUUGCCUGGACUUAUAGCAUCACUAGAUAAGGUUUCGUGUCUUCUAUAUAAAACUAAAUCCACAUACUGCAGUUUUAAAAUUGAAAAUAUAAAAAUCACAUGAUGUUAUCUGAUGCCCACAUACAUUCCUUAGGAAUUAGCAUAGAUCAAUAUGUAUACAAAACUAAAGAUCACAUGGCAUAUACAAAACUUCACCAUACUGCAGUUCUUUUUGUCUGAAGCUGUACAUUUUGGUUCUACUUCAUCAGAUAACAUACAACCACAAUUAUUUUUUAAAUUAUUUUCAAACUAUGAAAUGUGCAAAAUUGUUGGGGUGCACCCAUGCAUUUUCUCAUAUCUACACGUGAGUAACACAUCACAUGUUUGCAGUCACAUUCAGUUUGAACGUAUGAGAAUUUGACCUAAAGCCUCAGGAUACCUAUGAAAAUUUUCUCGAUAUUGGUUAUAUUUCUUAUGAAUCCACUUUGGCGUAAAACAUUUGAAAAAUGUCUAUGUCUUAACUAGGUGUUAGUAUGAAAUGAUAUUUGCACUUUUGUCAGAUAUUGAGUGAGCAUAGUUUCAUUAUUCGCUUAUCAUUAAGAUCGUGUGGAAUAUUUUCAGGUACUCAGCCACCUAGUGCGCAUGGAUGUGAUGACUUCGUAGUCUUAUGUAGCAUUUGGCCGUUUGUAGUAUUUCGGACUAGCCAACUUGUAAUCAUGAAUCUUAUGUGCGUUCUGGACCAUUUGGUGCUUCAAGUGUUCUGGAGUAGAAAUCUUGUGGUCAUGGAU
rnacentral:lncRNA from 1 species